GUGAAUCAUCGAAUUUUUGAACGCAAAUUGCACUCUUUGGUAUUCCGGAGAGUAUGCCUGUUUGAGGGUCAGUUUAAAUAAAAAUCGGUGAUGUUGCUGCCUUUCGUGGUGACGCGCCGGAGUUGGGUCGUCUUGCUUUCGGCUUAGUGUCCUAAUCUUUUGCCUGAUUUUUUUUGACCGCAUUUACAUGAUUUUACGUACGUUUGCGAUAGCGAAUACUAGGUUUGUGUCUCCUCUUGAUGCGCGCA
rnacentral:misc_RNA from 1 species